rnacentral:rRNA from 1 species
AAUCAACGCUGGCGGCGUGCCUCAGACAUGCAAGUCGAACGCUGGCCUGUUCGGCCUUCGGGUGGACAGCGGAGUGGCGCACGGGUGAGUAACACGUAGGUAAUCUACCUUUGGGUGGGAAGUAACAGCCGGAAACGGCUGCUAAUACCGCAUAAUGCAGCGGCAUCACAUGAUGACAGUUGUUAAAGCGGGGGAUCGUAAGACCUCGCGCCUGAAGAGGAGCCUGCGGCAGAUUAGGUAGUUGGUGAGGUAAUGGCUCACCAAGCCUGCGAUCUGUAACCGGCCUGAGGAGGGCGGUCGGUCACACCUGACACUGAC